rnacentral:rRNA from 1 species
UCUGGUUGAUCCUGCCAGUAGUCAUAUGCUUGUCUCAAAGAUUAAGCCAUGCAUGUCUAAGUAUAAAUAGUAUACAGUGAAACUGCGAAUGGCUCAUUAAAACAGUUAUAGUUUAUUUGAUAAUUGACAAUUACAUGGAUAACCGUGGUAAUUCUAGAGCUAAUACAUGCUUAAACGCCCGACUUUAUGGAAGGGUGGUAUUUAUUAGACUGAAGCCAAUAUUCCUUGUGUCUAUUGCGGUGAUUCAUAAUAACUGAUCGAAUCUCUUUUUGAGAUAAAUCAUUCAAGUUUCUGCCCUAUCAGCUUUCGGUGGUAGUGUAUUGGACUACCAUGGCAGUAACGGGUAACGAAGAAUUAGGGUUCGAUUUCGGAGAGGGAGCAUGAGAAACGGCUACCACAUCUAAGGAAGGCAGCAGGCGCGUAAAUUACCCAAUCCUGACUCAGGGAGGUAGUGACAAGAAAUAGCAAACCGGGAACCUCAUGGUUUCACGGUAUUGCAAUGAGAACAAUUUAAAACCCUUAGCGAGAAUCAAGUGGAGGACAAGUCUGGUGCCAGCACCCGCGGUAAUUCCAGCUCCACUAGCGUAUAUUAAAGUUGUUGCAGUUAAAAAGCUCGUAGUUGAACCUCUGUCUGGGGCUAGUUUUGGCUUUGGUCAGGCUAGUUCUAGGCAUCCGCCUACAAGACUUAGAGGGCAUUCAGUUGUUCACUAGGAGGAGUAGGCAUUUUACUUUGAAAAAAUUAGAGUGUUUAAGGCAGGCAAUCGCCCGCAUAUAUUAGCAUGGAAUAAUAGAAUAGGACACUUUUCCAUUUCGUUGGUUAUUGGAAUCGUGUAAUGAUUAAUAGGGACAGUUGUGGGCAUUUGUAUUUAAUUGUCAGAGGUGAAAUUCUUGGAUUUAUUAAAGACAAACUAACGCGAAAGCAUUUGCCAAGGAUGUUUUCAUUAAUCAAGAACGAAAGUUAGGGGAUCAAAGACGAUCAGAUACCGUCCUAGUCUUAACUAUAAACUAUUCCGACUCAAUGUUUGACUGGCUUAUAUAACCAGUUGAGCGUUGUAUGAGAAAUCAAAGUCUUUAGGUUCUGGGGGGAGUAUGGUUGCAAAGCUGAAACUUAAAGGAAUUGACGGAAGAGCACAACCAGGAGUGGAUUCUGCGGCUUAAUUUGACUCAACACGGGGAAACUUACCAGGUUAAAACAAUAGUGGGAUUGACAGUUUGAGAGCGCUUUCUUGAUUGGUUGGGUGGUGGUGCAUGGCCGUUCUUAGUUGGUGGAGUGAUUUGUCUGCUUAAUUGCGUUAACGAACGAGACCUUAACCUGCUUACUAGACUGGCGAUCAUCAAUCG